GGACAGAACUCUGGAAAGUUUUUUAAUAAACACCGAAGGGGUAAUUUCCGUUUUUUGGAAAAAUCUCUCAGGUAGAAAGACAGGGUAAGAAAU
rnacentral:ncRNA from 1 species